CGUUGAAUGGUGCCCCGAAGCGUUCAAAAGUGCCGGACUCGGACUCUGACUCCGUCAAUCUAGGUUCGAAUCCUAGUUCCCCAGCCA
rnacentral:tRNA from 1 species